GACGAACGCUGGCGGCGUGCUUAACACAUGCAAGUCGAACGGAAAGGCCCUGCUUUUGUGGGGUGCUCGAGUGGCGAACGGGUGAGUAACACGUGAGUAACCUGCCCUUGACUUUGGGAUAACUUCAGGAAACUGGGGCUAAUACCGGAUAGGAGCUCCUGCUGCAUGGUGGGGGUUGGAAAGUUUCGGCGGUUGGGGAUGGACUCGCGGCUUAUCAGCUUGUUGGUGGGGUAGUGGCUUACCAAGGCUUUGACGGGUAGCCGGCCUGAGAGGGUGACCGGCCACAUGGGGACUGAGAUACGGCCCAGACUCCUACGGGAGGCAGCAGUGGGGAAUAUUGCAAAAUGGGCGGAAGCCUGAUGCAGCAACGCCGCGUGCGGGAUGACGGCCUUCGGGUUGUAAACCGCUUUCGCCUGUGACGAAGCGUGAGUGACGGUAAUGGGUAAAGAAGCACCGGCUAACUACGUG
rnacentral:rRNA from 1 species